rnacentral:rRNA from 1 species
UGGGGAAUUUUGGACAAUGGGGGAAACCCUGAUCCAGCCAUCCCGCGUGUGCGAUGAAGGCCUUCGGGUUGUAAAGCACUUUUAGCAGGAAAGAAACGUCAUGGGUUAAUACCCCGUGAAACUGACGGUACCUGCAGAAUAAGCACCGGCUAACUACGUGCCAGCAGCCGCGGUAAUACGUAGGGUGCAAGCGUUAAUCGGAAUUACUGGGCGUAAAGCGUGCGCAGGCGGUUCGGAAAGAAAGAUGUGAAAUCCCAGGGCUCAACUUUGGAACUGCCUUUUUAACUACCGGGCUAGAGUGUGUCAGAGGGAGGUGGAAUUCCGAGUGUAGAAGUGAAAUGCGUAGAUAUGCGGAGGAACACCGAUGGCGAAGGCAGCCUCCUGGGAUAACACUGACGCUCAUGCACGAAAGCGUGGGGAGCAAACAGG